UACAGAGACUGCAAGCGUUAUUCGGAUUCACUGGGCGUAAAGCGUGCGCAGGCGGUUUUUUAAGUCAGAUGUGAAAUCCCCGGGCUCAACCUGGGAAUGGCAUUUGGGACUGCAAGGCUUGAGUGCGGCAGAGGAGACUGGAAUUCCUGGUGUAGCAGUGAAAUGCGUAGAUAUCAGGAGGAACACCUGUGGCGAAAGCGGCUCACUGGACCACAACUGACGCUGAUGCACGAAAGCGAGGGGAGCAAACAGG
rnacentral:rRNA from 1 species